AGUUUCCACCCGAGUUUGUUUCAAGGGUAAAUAUGUCCUUUCUUUGCAUUUUUUCCUGUGAAAAAGCUAGUGUAGAAUUGAACAGAUGACUUGAUGUUUGAAAUAAAGAAAUUUAUCUACUUCAUACUUGUCAUCAUAUGAGAAAUCAAGAACAGUUGAGGUAGAGGAGGAAGAACCAAAAGAUGGUGAAGAAACACCAUCAGAGGU